CAAUGUCACAGCGCACACACGUGAGAUACAGCCACGCCAAUCGUUACCAGCGCCGCCAGUGUGCUCUCACCGCCCUUCUUUCCGCUGACGCAGUGCUUUCCUGGCACAAUCGCACACAGAGUUAUGAGCGUACUGUCGGAGGCACAGCGAACUUGUGCGUCUCUGCAGUUCCUGCUGCUGGACCAGGACUCGGACGGCUUCAUCGGCAGUCAUGAGCUGGGGGCGUACCUGCGUGCCAUCGGGCUCUACCCUUCGCAGAGCGACAUUGCAGGCUACAUCGCCCUUGUCGACCCGGAGGAACAAGGACGUGUAUCGCAGGAGAGCGCGCUGGCGCUGUACGAAAAGCUCUACCCACAACGCACCACCCCCGAAGAGCUCUACGCUGCACUCAAGGUUUUGGACGACGACGCCGACGGCUACCUUACCACGACGCAGCUGCGGCACAUCCUCGUCAACCUCGGCGCUCGCAUCUCGCAGGAGGAGGCGGAAGAGAUACUGUGCGACGUGGAGAAGGACGGAGAGGGCAUGAUUAUGGUAGACGACAUCAUCCAACUGCUGAUGCCCACCGAGGGAGAGGAGCGCCUGUGAGAGAGAGAAACGAGGAUGAAGGCCCUCCACCUUACGCGCGCACGUCCUUGCGUGUGUCGGUGUGGCUCUCCCUCUCUCUCUCUCUCACUUGUGUUCUUGAGUCGCCCUUUUCCAACCGUCUCCGCAGCUCCCUUUCGCUGCUUGAAUGUACAAGAGUGCUUCCCAGCCCACUUUGCUGUCUGCUGCUCGACAGCAGGCGGCCAACACAG
rnacentral:misc_RNA from 1 species